GAAAUGCGAUAAGUAAUGUGAAUUGCAGAAUUCCGUGAAUCAUCGAAUCUUUGAACGCACAUUGCGCCCCCUGGUAUUCCGGCGGGCAUGCCUGUUCGAGCGUCAUUUCAACCAUCAAGCCCCCGGCUUGUGUUGGGGACCUGCGGCUGCCCGCAGGCCCUGAAAAACAGUGGCGGGCUCGCUGUCACACCGAGCGUAGUAGCAUACAUUCUCGCUCAGGGCGUGCUGCGGGUUCCGGCCGUUAAACGACCUUCAUAACCCAAGGUUGACCUCGGAUCAGGUAGGAAGACCCGCUGAACUUAAGC
rnacentral:misc_RNA from 1 species